UUACAUUGUGUGAGGUGGUGGGUGGU
rnacentral:piRNA from 1 species